rnacentral:rRNA from 1 species
ACGGAAGGCAGCAGUGAGGAAUAUUGGUCAAUGGGCGGAAGCCUGAACCAGCCAAGUCGCGUGAGGGAAGACGGCCCUACGGGUUGUAAACCUCUUCUGCGCGGGGGUAAAGUCGGGGUCGGGUCCCCGAUUGCAAGUACCGCGCGAAAAAGGAACGGCUAACUCCGUGCCAGCAGCCGCGGUAAUACGGAGGAUCCGAGUGUUAUCCGGAUUUAUUGGGUUUAAAGGGUGCGCAGGCGGUAUGCCAAGUCAGUGGUGAAAUGGUGCGGCUCAACCGUAGCAUUGCCGUUGAAACUGGCGUCCUUGAGUGCGAAUGAGGUAAGCGGAACGUGUCAUGUAGCGGUGAAAUGCAUAGAUAUGACACAGAACACCGAUUGCGAAGGCAGCGUACUGGGACGCGACUGACGCUGAGGCACGAAAGUGCGGGGAUCAAACAGGAUUAGAUAACCUGGUA